rnacentral:rRNA from 1 species
UCCGUAGGCAGCAAGCGUUGUUUGGAGUUACUGGGCGUAACGGGUGUGUAGGCGGUUGCUUAAGUUUGGUGUGAAAUCUCCCGGCUCAACUGGGAGGGUGCGCCGAAUACUGAGUGACUAGAGUGCGGGAGAGGGAAGUGGAAUUCCUGGUGUAGCGGUGAAAUGCGUAGAUAUCAGGAGGAACACCGGUGGUGUAGACGGCUUUCUGGACCAUAACUGACGCUGAGGCACGAAAGCGUGGGUAGCAAACAGG